UUUGUAUUUUUGUGUUUAUUACUCUUAAAGUGGACCAUCAGCGCAUCGUCACCAUAAUAAUGCUGCAUCAGAUUUCACACACAAAUCAGAGAUUGAUAAUCAGUUAAAUUAAAUGACCUGCUGAUUUGAGUAACAGUACAACUGUUCAUAACACAUGAAGUGCUUUUAUAAACAAUAAUCGAGUCUAAAAUAAUCACAACAUGAUGUGUCAGAGUACAGGUUAAUAUUUAACAUGAGAAUAAACUGUCACAUCUUGAUAUCCUAAAACAUUUGAAUAAAGAACUUAAACUUUGAACUCAGCUGAUAAUGUUUUAAUGAACAGUCGAAACACAAAUAUUAGAACAACACCGCACAUUGAGCUUGUGCUAAACGCAUAUUAUGAUUAUAGUAAUAGAUCACAUGACAACACAUUUCUUCUUCUCCGCUGCAGGUUUGUGAGGGUUUGUCCCUCCAGGAGAGUUUCCUGUGUGAUCAUGUGGAAGAGAGGAAAGCGUUGAGGAGCUUGACAUGGAUCCACUGGAGCGAGACACACUCUGAGCGGCUCUGUUCACCUCCACUGGAAGAGACGUCAUGCUCAGAUCUUCAGUCUUCACUGAAUACUUCUGCAGUGGAGAAGCAUACAUACUGAAUGCAGUGGAGACGCGUUCAGCCGAGACAAGAAACGCAGUGGAGACGUGUUCAGCCGAGACAGGAAGUACAGGGGAGAAGCGUUCAGCAGAGACAGGAAAUGCAGUGGACGUGCUUUUAGGUGGGACAGGAAGUACAGGGGAGACAUUUUGAGAUGAGACAGGAAGUACAGGGGAGACAUUUUGAGAUGAGACAGGAAAUGCAGUGGAGACACGUUCAGCAGAGAUGGGAAGUGCAGUAGAGAUGCUUCUAGAUGAGACAGGAAGUACAGGGGAGACGUUUUUAGCUGAGACAGGAAGUACAGGGGAGACAUUUUGAGAUGAGACAGGAAGUACAGGGGAGACGUUUUUAGCUGAGACAGGAAGUACAGGGGAGACAUUUUGAGCUGAGACAGGAAGUACAGGGGAGACAUUUUUAGCUGAGACAGGAAGUACAAGGGAGAUGCGUUCAGCAGAGACAGGAAAUGCAGUGGAGACACGUUCAGCGGAGCUGGGAAGUGCAGUAGAGAUGCUUCUAGAUGAGACAGGAAGUACAGGGGAGACGUUUUUAGCUGAGACAGGAAGUACAGGGGAGACAUUUUGAGAUGAGACAGGAAGUACAGGGGAGACGUUUUUAGCUGAGACAGGAAGUACAGGGGAGACAUUUUGAGCUGAGACAGGAAGUACAGGGGAGACAUUUUUAGCUGAGACAGGAAGUACAAGGGAGAUGCGUUCAGCAGAGACAGGAAAUGCAGUGGAGACACGUUC